rnacentral:snRNA from 1 species
UUGCUUUGGUAGCACAUGUAGUAAAAUUGGAACGAUACAGAGAAGAUUAGCAUGGUCCCUGCACAAGGAUGACACACAAAUUCGCGAAGUGUUCCAUACUUUU